AUUAUACCUUGUGUUGCUUCGGUAGGUCUGGCUCGUCCUACCGGAGGACCGUAAAACGUCCUCUGGAGAGUGCCUACCGAUAGCCCAAACCAAAAACUCUUGAACAAAACAUGUAUUGUCUGAGUAAACAAAAAAAUUAAAGCAAAACUUUCAACAACGGAUCUCUUGGUUCUGGCAUCGAUGAAGAACGCAGCGAAAUGCGAUAAGUAAUGCGAAUUGCAGAAUUCCAGUGAGUCAUCGAAUCUUUGAACGCACAUUGCGCCCUUUGGUAUUCCGAAGGGCAUGCCUGUUCGAGCGUCAUUUUCACCCCUCAAGCCCCCGGCUUGGUGUUGGACGGUUUGGUUUAGGUACCCCUAGACCCCUCCUAAAGACAAUGACGGCGGCUGUUGAACCCCCGGUACACUGAGCUUCUUAACUGAGCACGUAUCGGAUCUAGGGUUUGGCGGCACCCGGUCUAUACCUUUUUUGCU
rnacentral:rRNA from 1 species